rnacentral:rRNA from 1 species
UACGAAGGGGGGCUAGCGUUGCUCGGAAUCACUGGGCGUAAAGCGCACGUAGGCGGCUUUCUAAGUCAGGGGUGAAAUCCUGGAGCUCAACUCUAGAACUGCCUUUGAUACUGGAGAGCUUGAGUCCGGGAGAGGUGGAGUGGAACUCCGAGUGUAGAGGUGAAAUUCGUAGAUAUUCGCAAGAACACCAGUGGCGAAGGCGGCUCACUGGCCCGAUACUGACCGCUGAGGUGCGAAAGCGUGGGGGAGCAAACAGG